rnacentral:rRNA from 1 species
GACAGAGGGGGCAAGCGUUGUCCGGAUUGACUGGGCGUAAAGCGCCCGCAGGUGGUGCGUCAAGUGCGCUGUGAAAGCCCGCGGCUUAACCGCGGGAGGCCAGUGCAGACUGUCGGACUGGAGCGAUGCAGAGGGUGGUGGAAUUGCCGGUGUAGUGGUGAAAUGCGUAGAGAUCGGCAGGAACACCAAGGGGGAAGCCAGCCACCUGGGCAUCGGCUGACACUGAGGGGCGACAGCGUGGGGAGCGAACUGG